rnacentral:rRNA from 1 species
AUUGAACGCUGGCGGCAUGCCUUACACAUGCAAGUCGAACGGCAGCACGGGAGCAAUCCUGGUGGCGAGUGGCGAACGGGUGAGUAAUAUAUCGGAACGUGCCCAGUCGUGGGGAUAACGUAGCGAAAGCUACGCUAAUACCGCAUACGAUCUAUGGAUGAAAGCGGGGGAUCGCAAGACCUCGCGCGAUUGGAGCGGCCGAUAUCAAAUUAGGUAGUUGGUGAGGUAAAGGCUCACCAAGCCGACGAUCUGUAGCUGGUCUGAGAGGACGACCAGCCACACUGGGACUGAGACACGGCCCAGACUCCUACGGGAGGCAGCAGUAAGGAAUAUUGGUCAAUGGGCGGAAGCCUGAACCAGCCAUGCCGCGUGCAGGAAGACGGCCCUAUGGGUUGUAAACUGCUUUUGUACCGGAAUAAACCCUUUACGUGUAAGAGGCUGAAUGUACGGUAAGAAUAAGGAUCGGCUAACUCCGUGCCAGCAGCCGACGG